CAUCUCUGUCCCCCUAUGUUCCACUGCCAACUUCUUGUGACCAUCUUUCAAUGUCCCUGCCUCUCUCUUCCCAGUCUCUUCUCUCUCCCCUCUCAGUCAACAGACACCCCACCCAGCUCUGGAACCAGCUCAGACCAGGCGACGUCCAUCAGACGGUCGUAGGCAGGCCCCGUGGAGAAUUGAUUCCCCGAAGACCCGACCCCCCUGCACCCUCAGAAGAGGGGUUGAGAAUGGAAUCCUCUGUGGAUGACGGCGCCACUGCCACCACCGCAGACGCCGCCUCUGGGGAGGCCCCCGAGGCUGGGCCCUCCCCCUCCCACUCCCCCACCAUGUGCCAAACGGGAGGCCCCGGGCCCCCGCCCCCCAGCCCCCCAGAUGGCUCCCCUGACCCCCCUGACCCCCUCGGAGCCAAAUGAGGCAGGAAUCCCCCCGCCCCUCCAUAGAGAGCCGCCUUUCUCGGAACUGAACUGAACUCUUUUGGGCCUGGAGCCCCUUGACACAGCGGAGGUCCCUCCUCACCCACUCCUGGCCCAAGACGGGCCGCAGGCUUCGGGGACCCGGACCCCCCAUUUCGCGUCUCCCCUUUCCCUCCCCAGCCCGGUCCCUGGAGGGGCCUCUGGUUCAAACCUUCGCGUGGCAUUUUCACAUUAUUUAAAAAAGACAAAAACAACUUUUUGGAGGAACACGGGGCCUGUGCGUGUUUCGCGAGGUGAGGAGGGGAGGAUGCAGGGAGCGAGUGCGACCCUGAGAAGUCCCAUCCUCACAGCCUGGCCCACAUGGCAGAUGGGACAUCGGAUGCUCAGAGAAGCGGAAACUCCCUCACAGUGGCAGAGGCCCGGCUUCUCUGCUUCUCCAGAUCCCUGCUCUGCGCCUGGGGUUUGCAUCGCCCAACCUUGGCCGCUGCAGCAGCAGCACUGCUGGCUCAAGAGGCCAUAAGGAUGAAGCAAGAGAAUCGCUCGAACCCAGGAGACGGAGGUUGCA
rnacentral:lncRNA from 1 species